rnacentral:rRNA from 1 species
UACGUAGGUGACCAGCGUUGUCCGGAUUUACUGGGCGUAAAGAGCGCGCAGGCGGUUGUGCAAGUCGCGUGUGAAAGCCCCCGGCUCAACUGGGGAGGGUCACGCGAUACUGUUCGACUUGAAGGCAGGAGAGGGAAGUGGAAUUCCCGGUGUAGUGGUGAAAUGCGUAGAUAUCGGGAGGAACACCAGUGGCGAAGGCGACUUCCUGGCCUGUUCUUGACGCUGAGGCGCGAAAGCUAGGGUAGCAAACGGG